GAGCUUGCCUCAUGGACAGGCUAUGCGCACCUGUCCACACUAAUGAUCUGGUGGGCUGUGGAAUGGGCUAAAUGAAUGAAAGUCCAUCCUGUGUGCCAGAGAGGGACAUACUGGCAGAUGGGGGAGCAUGGAAAUAUGUGGGCAGCAGCUUGUUGUCAACCUUGCCAACUCUGGGACAGAGUUCAACUUGAAACUUGCCAGCUGUCCUGGAAAGUGCCAACGAUAAAUGAGUGCAAUCUGUAUCCAGAGGUUGGGGCCUCUGGGAAAUGUGUGCAAUUUCAAGAGAAGAAUUAAAUCCAGAAUCAACAUUCAGCAUGCGGUGCCAAGAGAGAGAGAAAAAGAGGGAUCCAGGAACAAGGAGGACUAAGGCCACAGCCAGAUGUUCCUGAGCAUUUCACAGAGUCUGAAGAUUUUCUCUCUUAUUCCUCUCUAGCAUCUCGUAUCCAGCAGCUUAAUACCUUGAUGUGACCAGAGCUGUGUGCAUUCUGCAAUUCCACAAGACUGUCAGGAAAAUACACUGGGUAAAGACAAUGUGGUGCAGUGGUUUAAGCAUUGGUCUAGGACACCAGACCAGGAUUCAAAUCCCCACUCUUCCAUGAAACCCCCAGGGUGACCUCGGCCAUGUCACACACUCUCAGCCUCAGAGGAAGGCAAUGGCAAACCCCCUCUGAACAAACCUUGCCAAGAAAGUCCCACAAUAGGUCUGCCUUAGAUUUACCAUGAGAUGAAAAUGACCUGAAGACAUACACCACCACCACCACCAUCACCAAAAAGGCCCUUAUCUUAUCUCAACUUAUCUUAUCAUAUCUUAUCUAUCCCAGGGAACUUGUAAAUUUAAAUUGGUAUGGAGAAAGAGCCAUGAGUCGGUAGCUGUGCCCUCCAAAGGUUAGUGUUACUCCUAUCAGCAUGAGCCUGCAUAGCCAGUGGUGAGGAAUGCUUGGAGUUUCAGCCCACCAAUAUUUGGAUUUUGUAUUGUUUUAAAUAUGUUAUUAGCCACCUCGAGUCCCAUUAUUGAGAGGAAAGCAGGACAUAAAUGAAUUAAAUAGAGUUGCCCCUUUUUGUUGACAAGUUUCCAACUUGAUUCAUACAUUGAUUGAUUUUAAUUUGUCACUUCCUAUCACUUCACAUUAUUAUUAGCCAAUGUAAAUAUAUAUAACUGAAUACCGAGGUCAGUAUCAUAUGCAAUAGUAUUUCUGAUCUCUCAGUGUGGAUGUAAAAUCUGAGCAGUGGAGAAAUUUGACAGGUAAAAACUCAGUUCAUUCAAAAUAUGAUGCCCGAAGAGAGUCCUACAGAUAUUCACGGAGCACCAAAAAGACACAUAAAUGGAUCCAAGAACAAAUCAAGCCUAAACGCUCACUGGAAGCCAAAAUUACUGAAGUGGACUAUCAUUCUUUGGAUAUAUCAUGAGAUGACAUGACUCACUGGAAAAGACAGUAAUGUUUUGUAAAGUGGAAGGCAGUAGGAUGAGAGGUAAACUGAACUACAAUAAGAAAUUCAUGGCCAUGACUUUGCAGGACCUGAGCAUGGCAAGGUGUCUUGGAAGCCUCUCAUUCAUAGAGUCGCCAUAAAUUGAAGCCCACUUGCUAGCAAAUA